AACGAGCGCUGGCGGCAUGCCUAACACAUGCAAGUCGAACGAGACCUUCGGGUCUAGUGGCGCACGGGUGCGUAACGCGUGGGAACCUGCCCUUAGGUUCGGAAUAACUCCCCGAAAGGGGUGCUAAUACCGGAUAAUGUCUUCGGACCAAAGAUUUAUCGCCUUUGGAUGGGCCCGCGUUGGAUUAGCUAGUUGGUAGGGUAAAAGCCUACCAAGGCGACGAUCCAUAGCUGGUCUGAGAGGAUGAUCAGCCACACUGGGACUGAGACACGGCCCAGACUCCGACGGGAGGCAGCGGUGGGGAAUAUUGGACAAUGGGCGAAAGCCUGAUCCAGCAAUGCCGCGUGAGUGAUGAAGGCCUUAGGGUUGUAAAGCUCUUUUACCCGGGAUGAUAAUGACAGUACCGGGAGAAUAAGCUCCGGCUAACUCCGU
rnacentral:rRNA from 1 species